UCAGUUACGACUUACGCUACACUUGCAGUUCUUUAUCCCUGCAUUUUAGCGGUGUGAUUCGAACGUGCCAAAUUUCAAACGGGGUAGUUAAUGGAUUCAUUGUGCUCUUAGCAACUUCUAUAGUCUGUGUUCAUUGCAAGAAAUCGUCUUCUAUGGAUACGCCUGACUUCAUUAUUUUGUUUUGUGUUUGGGCAGGAGAUGAUCUUCAAGCGGUGGUUCAAAAUUCAUGACUUCAGGUUCCUCCGGCGUAGCUCAUUCAGAAAAAACCACUGAAAAAGAUACUCAUACGAAAUAAGCUCUUACGAAUGAUGGCAUUUGUGUUAUGCUGAUUGACCAGGCCACUCUGCAGCAACCCCAAGCUCCUGCUUCGCUCUAGUGAAUGCGGGUGAUGCUCAGUCUAGGGACAAGUUUAAACAGUUUCCCAACCACUGCAGGAUACUACUUGGUGAUCCAAAUAAUUUGCAUUUUGUCAUGGCAGCUUCCAUUUUACGAGCUGAGAUGUUCGGCAUUACUAUUCUUGAUUGGGCUGUGCAGCCCAAGGCAUUGGUAGAAGCUAUUGAUCGAGUGUUGGUUUUGAAAUUGCAACCAUAAUUUAUGUGACA